UUCCGGUUGAUCCUGCCGGAGGCCAUUGCUAUUGGGAUUCGAUUUAGCCAUGCUAGUCGCACGAGUUCAGACUCGUGGCGAAUAGCUCAGUAACACGUGGCCAAACUACCCUUCGGAGCACGAUACCCUCGGGAAACUGAGGUCAAUAGUGCAUACCACAAUCCACCUGGAAUGAGGAUUGUGCCAAAUGCUCCGGCGCCGAAGGAUGUGGCUGCGGCCGAUUAGGUAGACGGUGGGGUAACGGCCCACCGUGCCAAUAAUCGGUACGGGUCAUGAGAGUGAGAACCCGGAGACGGAAUCUGAGACAAGAUUCCGGGCCCUACGGGGCGCAGCAGGCGCGAAACCUUUACACUGCACGCCAGUGCGAUAAGGGAAUCCCAAGUGCGUAGGCAUAGAGCCUACGCUUUUGUACACCGUAGGGAGGUGUACGAAUAAGGGCUGGGCAAGACCGGUGCCAGCCGCCGCGGUAAUACCGGCAGCCCGAGUGAUGGCCGAUCUUAUUGGGCCUAAAGCGUCCGUAGCUGGCCGCACAAGUCCAUCGGAAAAUCCACCCGCUCAACGGGUGGGCGUCCGGUGGAAACUGUGUGGCUUGGGACCGGAAGGCGCGACGGGUACGUCCGGGGUAGGAGUGAAAUCCUGUAAUCCUGGACGGACCGCCGAUGGCGAAAGCACGUCGCGAGGACGGAUCCGACAGUGAGGGACGAAAGCCAGGGUCUCGAACCGGAUUAGAUACCCGGGUAGUCCUGGCCGUAAACAAUGUCUGUUAGGUGUGGCUCCCACUACGAGUGGGUGCUGUGCCGUAGGGAAGCCGCUAAACAGACCGCCUGGGAAGUACGUCCGCAAGGAUGAAACUUAAAGGAAUUGGCGGGGGAGCACUACAACCGGAGGAGCCUGCGGUUUAAUUGGAUUCAACGCCGGG
rnacentral:rRNA from 1 species